UACGUAGGGGGCAAGCGUUGUCCGGAAUUAUUGGGCGUAAAGCGCGCGCAGGCGGUCAUUUAAGUUUCAUGUAUAAACCCAAGGCUCAACCUUGGUUCGCAUGGAAAACUGGGUGGCUUGAGUGUAGGAGAGGAAAGUGGAAUUCCACGUGUAGCGGUGAAAUGCGUAGAUAUGUGGAGGAACACCAGUGGCGAAGGCGACUUUCUGGCCUAUAACUGACGCUGAGGCGCGAAAGCGUGGGGAGCAAACAGG
rnacentral:rRNA from 1 species